rnacentral:lncRNA from 1 species
UUAGGUUGAUCUGGCAUUGCUGCAGCUGUGGUGUAAGUUGCAGCUCAGAUUUGAUCCCUGGCCCAGAAACCUCUAUGUACCAUGGCUGUGGUCAAAACAGAAAAAAACCGAAAUAAUUUGCUGUGAACAUUGAGGUGCAUAGAUCUUUUUGCAUUAGAGUUUUCAUCUUUUCCAGAUGUAUGUCCAGAAGUGGGAUUGCUGGAUCAUAUGCUAACUUUAUUUUUAGUUUUUUAAGGAAUUUCCACACUUUUUUCCAAAGUCGCUGCAUCAAUUUACAUUCCCACCAACAGUGUAGAAGGGUUCCCCUUUCUCCACACCCUCUCCAUCAUUUUCUACUUGGAGACUUUUUGAGGGUGGCUGUUGUGAUCAGUGUGAGUGAUACCUCAUUGUUUUGAUUUGCAUUUCCCUAGAGAUAUGAAGCAUCUUUUCAUGUGCCUGUUGGCCAUUAGUAUGUCUUCUUUGGGGGAAUGUCUAUUUAGGUCCUCUGCUCAUUUUUUGACUGGGGUCUUUGUCUUUUUGACUGAGCUGUAUGAGCUCUUGCUGUAUUUUGGAAAUUAAGCCCUCGUCAGUUACACUGUUUGCAAGUAUUUUCCCUAGUACGUAGGUCAUCUUUUCAUUUUGUGGAUGAUUUCCUCUGCUGUGCAAAAGCUUAUAGGUUUGAUUGGGUUCCAUUUGUUUAUUUUUUGCUUUUAUUUCUUUUGCCUUAGGUGACUGAUCUAAGAAAAUACUGCCAUGAUUUAUGUCAGAGAAUGUUUUGCUUAUAUUUACUUUUAGGAGUUUUAUAUCAUCACUUCUUAUAUUUAAGUCUUGAAGCUGUUUGGAGUUUAAUUUUUGUGUGUGUGUGGUAUGAGGGAGUCUUCUAACUCUGUUGAUUUACAUGCAACUGUUCAGCUUUGCCAACUCCACCAGCUAAAGAGACUGUCUUUUCUCCAUUGUAUAUUCUUGCCACCUUUGUCAAAGAUGAAUUGACCAUAGGCGUAUGGGUUUAUUUCUGAACUUUCAGUUCUGUUCCAUUGAUAUAUAUUUCUCUUUCGGGGCCAGUACCACACUGUUUUGAUUACUGUAGCUUUAGAGUAUUGUCUGACGUGCGGGAGAAUUAUGUUUCCAGCUUUGUUCUUUUUCUUCUGGACUGUUUUGACAAUUCUAGGCCUUUUAUUAUUCCAUAUAAAUUUUAGGAAUAUUGUUCUAGUUCUGUGAAAAAUGUCAUGGGUAAUUGGAUCAGAAUCUCAUUAAAUCUGUAGGAUGCUUUGGGUUGUAUGGCCAUUUGAACAGUAUUAAUUCUUCCAAUCCACGAGCAUGGGAUAUCUUUCCAUUUCUUUGAAUUGUCUUUGAUUUCCUUUAUCUUUGCCUUAUAGUUCUCACCAUGUAAGCCCUUUACCUACUUGGUUAGAUUUAUUCCUGGAUUUAUUUAUUUAUUUAUUUAGUUUUGUUUUUAUGUGAUUUUUUUUUUAACUUUCUGGUAUUUCCUUGUUAGUGUAGACAAAUACAGCAUGUUUCUGUAUAUUAAUCUUGUAUCAUACUACCUUGGUGAUUCAUUUGCCAGUGUUAAUAACUUCUGUGUAGAAUCUUUAGGGUUUUCUCUGUAAUACAGUAUGUCAUCUGCAUGUAAUGACAAUUUUACCUCUCCCAUUCUAAAUUGUAUGCCUGUUCUUUUUCUUGUCUGAUUGCUGCGGCUAGCAUUUCCAAUAAUAUGUCAAAUAGAAAAGGUGAGAGUGGUCAUCCUUGUCUUGUUCCUGCAUUUAGUGGGAAGGCUUUCAUAUUCGCCCUGUUGAUUAUUGUGUUGGCUAUGAGUUUGUCAUAUGUAGCUUUUAUUAUGUUGAGAUACAUUUCCUCUAUACCCACUUUAGUCAGAGUUUUUAUGAAUGAUGGAUGUUGAAUUUUAUCAAAUGCUUUUUCUGCAUCUAUUGAGAUAAUCAUGUGGUUUUUGUCUUUUGUUGGUGUGGCAUAUCACUUUGAUCUGAAUAUGUUGAGUGUAUAUAUUCAUCAAAGAUACUGGACUAAAAUUUUGGGUUUUGGUAGUAUCUUUGGUUUGGGUGUAACGGUGAUCGUGGCUUUGUAGAAUGACUUUGGCAGUGUUCCCUCCUUUUCAGUCUUUUGGGAGAGUUUUUAAAAAAGGUAAGUAUAAGUUGUUCUUCGUAUGUUUGGUAGAAUUCCCCAGUGAACCAUCUGGGCCUGGACUUUGUUUUUAGGGAGUUUUAAUGUUCCUGAGUCUAUUUCACUUUUAGAGUUAACUCUGUUCAGAUUAUCUGUUUCUUUUUGAUUCAGCUUUGGGAGGCUGUAUGUUUCUAGAAACUUGUAUAUUCCUCAUAGAUUGUCCAUUUUGUUGGUUUAUAACUGUUAACAGUAUUGCCUUAUGAUUUUUUUCUAUUUUUAUCUCUUAUUUAUUAUUAUCUCUCUUUUGUUCUUUGUGAGCCCAGCCAGAAGUUUGUCAGUUUUGUUUGUUCAGAAAACUAGCUGUUGGCCUUAAAGAUUUUUUCCUUUUAUUAAUCUCUAUAUUAUAUUUCCUCUCUGAUAUUUAUUCUUUCUUUCCUUCUGCCGACUUUACGCUUUGUUUAUUCUUUUUCUAAUUCUUUGAGAUGGUGAUUAGAUUAUUCGAGAUUUUCCUUCUUUUUGAGAAUAGCUGCUCUUACUAUGAACUUCCCUCUUUCCCUCUUAGGACUGCCGUUGCUGCAUCUCAUGGAUUUUGUAUGGUUUUUUCUUUUUGCUCUUUAGGGCCACAUCUGCAGCAUAGGGGUCUAAUCGGAGCUGUAGAUGCUAGCCUGCACCACAGCCACAGCAACACCAGAUCCUUAACCCACUGAGCGAGGCCAGGGAUCAAACCUGUGUUAUGGAUACUAGUUGGGUUUGUUAACACUAAGCCACCACGAGAACCUCGUGGUUCCCAAAUUUGUCUUUUUAAAGUGUGAUAUGCAAUUAAUAUAUUAGUAAGAUGUCUUUUUUGUUUGUUUGUUUGUUUUUUUUUUUUUGGCUUCCCUGUGGCAUAUGGAGUUCCUCACCCAGGGAUCAGAUCCGAGCCACAGUCACAACCUAAGCCACAGGUGCGGCGACACCAGAUCCCCAACCCACUGUGCCAGGCUGGGAUCAAACCUGUGUCCCAGUGCUCUCAGGACUGCUGAUCCCAUUGCGCCUCAGCAGGAACUCCCGCGUGCAGGUUUUAAAACAACCACUCUCUUUAUUAAGCAAGUAGUGUCACAAGCUGUUUUUAUCUUGGGCAUAUUAGAGUUAAAACCUUAGAUAAACCAUAAUAUCAAAUUAAAUGCUACACAGAUAAAACAGCCACCACCACCAGUGCAGAUGACAUUAAGCGUAUCAGCAGCUGUCUGGAAUUAUGGUGGUAUUUAGGGCCGCUAGCGAAUCUCUGCACACUGAGUCCAUUUCUCAGGAAUUAUUCCUCCUACCGUGACUUUGCCACUGGACUAGUUUUUCCUUUUUUUUUUUUUUUUGUCUUUUUGCCAUUUCUGGGGCCGCUCCCGCUGCCUACGGAGGUUCCCAGGCUAGGGGUCGAAUGGGAGCUGUAGCCACCGGCCUACACCACAGCAACACGGGAUCCCAGUCAUGUGUACAACCUACAUCCCAGCUCACAGCAAUACCGGAUCCUUAACCCACUGAGCAAGGGCAGGGAUCGAACCUGCAACCUCGUGGUUCCCAGUCGGAUUUGUUAACCUCUGCGCCACGAUGGGAACUCCGCCACUGGACUAGUUUCUACUCCAGAGACACCUGUUGGAGAUGAGCUUACUCACCCCAACUGCUUAUACACCUCUUUCCCUUAGAGCUCUGUCUCAGACCCAAAGAGGCAAACAUCCACCUGAUUCCUUCCUGCUGCCAGAUCCGUGGGCUCAGUGUGCUGUGCCAGUUGCGGGCGGGGGGUGUAGGCACACCCAGUCCCUGAGAUACGUUUGUGGUUCUGACCUACCAGCUGCUCCCAGAACUGCAGUAUCCAUUCAGAUGUCGUGGAGAGACAGUGCAUGCUUGGGGAGGUGGGAAUGUUUCUGGGAAAAAACACUGUUCCCAUCAGGAACUGCAAUUCCUAUUCCUAAAGGACGUGGCCACAGUUACGUAGAGAGUGCGUCCAUGACCCAUGACGGAAGCCAGUGUUUAACAUGGAUGAAACGGGACGUGCUGAGGUCUCACACUUGCUGAAAAUGUUUUCAUUUGCCUGUUUUCUCACUGUUUCUAUGCCUCAGUGAGAUGUUUGUGUGUUUGCCCAUUUCCUAACUCUAUUUCUGUUCUCACGAUUGUGGAUCUAGCAUUCUCUAUACAUUCUGUUACUCCCUUGGCAGAUGUGUGGUAUGCAGAUAUUUUCUAUUAUACACCUUUAAAAAAAAAAUUUUUUUUUUUUUUGUCUUUUUAAGGCAUAUGGAGGUUCCCAGGCUAGGGGUCGCAUUGAAGGGGCAGCCACCAGCCUACGCCACAGCCUCAGCAACGGGAUCCAAGCCGUGUCUGCGACCCACACCACAGCUCGUGGCAACGCUGGAUCCUUAACCCACUGAGCGAGGCCAGGGAUUGCAGCUCAUCCUCACGGAUGCUGGUCAGAUUCAUUUCCACUGCGCCACAGUUGGAAUUCCUUAAGAAAAAAAAAUGUUAGCACGGCUUUUCACAGACCAAAACUUUAGGUUUUCUCAUGUCCAGUUUACCCUUUUUUUUUUUUUUUUUCUCUCUUAUGAAUUGUGUUUCUGGUGCCACGUCUAAGAAUUCUUCCCCAAGUCCUAGAUCCUGACUUUUCGUCUGUGUGUCUCUUGUCUUGCAGAGUUUUAUACUUUCACAUUUCAGGCUUUGAGAAAAUAUGUGUAUAGAUGUGAAAUUUAGGUGGAGAUUCCUUUUUUCCCCCUACUAUGAAUAUUCCAUUGAUGUAGCACCAUUUUUUGAAAAUCCUGCCUUCAUUAAAUUACCUUAGUAGCUUAGUCAGAAAUCAGCUGGAAGCACAGUUAACCCUUAAACAAUGCAGAGGGCUAGGGCAGUGACCACCCCAAGCAGAGAAAAAUCCAUGUAUAACUUUAUAGCUGACUCUCUGUACCCAGGGUUUUGCAUCCACAGACUCAGUCAGGCUCAGAUCCUAUAAGACUACACUAGUAUUUAUUGGGGGGAAAAAAAGCAUAUAUACUGAACCUGCAGACCUUAAACUUGUUAUUCAAGGGUCAGUGGUACUGUGAUUAGCUAAUUUUUUUUCUCCAUUCUGUUCCAUUGGUCUCAAUGUCUGUCACUCCACCAAUACCAAAGAGUGGCUGUUACUACUUUAGGAAUCUUGAGAUGAUGUGGAGUGAUUCCAGCCACUUGAGUAUUUUUCAGAUACUCUCAUCCUUCUGUUUCUUUUUUCUUUCCACAUUGAUUUUAGAAUGAUCUGAAGUGUACAGGAAAAAAGCUUUCUGUAGAUGAGAAAAUGCCUUAACUGUGUGUUUCAGUUUGGGGCGGUCUGACAUCUCUGUGCCGUGACCUCAGUCACUGAACAAUGUUUGUUUCUCUAACAAGUCAGUAAACGUGUUUCAUUAAGAGGACCACGUUUUGGGAGUUCCCCUUGUGGCUCAGCGAUAAUGAAUCUGACCAGCAUCCAUGAGGACUCGGGUCUGACCCCUGGUCUCUCUCAGUGGGUUAAAGGAUCCGGCGUUGCCCUGAGCUGUGGUGUAGGUCACAGACAAGGCUCAGAUCCCGCACUGCCGUGGCUGUGGUGUAGGCUGGCAGUUGCAGCUCCAGGUUGACCGCUAGCCUGGGAACUUGCAUAUGC